GCAGGCGGAGGUCACCUCAAUAUGGCUGACAUGUUCUGUGUUUUCCCACAGCAUGUCACAUGUAGCCAGUGCGGCGACUUUGACAAAGUACUGCAGGGUGACCUGGUAGUCUCGGGUCAGAGUGAGAGAAAUUGGUGUUGUACUAAGAUGUAUGUUAAUACAUAUAUUAUUUAUAUGGGCAUUAGCGAAUGCUAUUGUUGCCUUAGCACAAACCCAGGCCCAGAGAUUGGCCUUGGGGUUUUUGCAAGCUUACUUUAUCAUGUUUCUCCUCACCCCCUCCUCGCUCAUGAAUAAUUAAAAACUUAAAUUACUUGCCAUGUACAAAAUUCAUAUGCUGGGGAAAAUAGCUACAUGAAAAUUAAUUUUCUGUUCUGUGAGACUGACGGGAAAUCAAUUAAUCUUGAUGUAUUAUUUUAUGCAGAACAGGGUGCAAGAACCUGCGGAGAGAAUGGCUACAGCUGUUCUUGUUGGUCAGGCCAUAUAUUAUCGUUGGCGGGUUUGACAGCUUCUGAAGGAAAUGGCUGAGGGGUAUCAGGCAGGUGAAUCAACUGUAAAAAUUUAUUGGAGGAUACAAACUGUUUCCAGGGAACUGAUAUAAAACUCACACUUGAGAACUGAAGUAUUGAAUGUUUUUGUGACUGAAGCAGCUUGUUGUCAAUAUUUAUAGCUUUUCUCUUUGUUACAUGUCCUAUUUGUUUGAUUAACUAGUCAGAUGUUAGUGUCUGUCGGUAAUUUAUCUGUUGUGCCUUCUGUAGCAUUUUUGAUACAUAAAGAUUUACCACUAGAUAAAUAAGGCAGCACACACAAUGCAAUAUGCGAAAUAAAAUGACAGAGCUGUUUACAGCAUGUUGCAAGUUUUAUAACUCAUGAGGUAGAUCGGUAACUUUUGUUUACUGGUGUCACUGUUUGUUGAAACAUGUCUCAAUGUAUUAAAUACCAUGGGGGUAAAUAAAGCUCUUUUAAAUAAGCAGAGAUUGUAAUCAACACAUACCUCAUGGUAAAUCAUUUAAGAGGCUCUAUAAAAACGUUUAUGUACAGCCAUACAUAAUGCAUACAUUUCUGAAAUAAAAUAAAAUAAAUGCGUGCUUUUAGAAUAGGCUGUAGUUACAUUCCUCUCCCAUGCCAUCGACAUCAAUUUCCCCUGUAGAUGAUGGAGGUGCGAUGUUCAGACAAAUGCUGACGCAGACCGACGGGAGCUGGAGGCUGAGGGGCAGCGGCCUGGCAGGUGAUGUCUCUCCAGUCUUGGGGAAUGGCUCCUGGGAACACGGGUGUCUGCUUGCGGCAUCACUGGUCAUCACAGGCUGGUGGGGCUGGGUGGUUGUGGCUGUCAGUCUCAGGCAGUUGAGGCUGACUUUUUGUGCAGCCCUGUGUGAUGUCUGGAUUUAGGGAGACGCCAGGAAAGUGGAUGUAGAUAAUGCUUUACCCAGGGCCCCUCUGUGACCACCUGUCUCUUCCCCAUCUCCAGGCAACAGCAGCCACUAAGAAGUGCUAGAGUCAUUGGCUUCCUAAGAAAUUGGCAUGAGCACUCAGGCCCCCUUAUCCCUACACAGAGAGGCGGAAACUGUACCAUGUGCCUGGCUGUGUAUUCUUCAAAUAUCAGGCUCAUGGCAUUUCAGCUAAGAAUCCCAACAUCUGUUGAUCAGCAACAGACUUGGCAAAUAGUGGUGCUUAGUAAGUAGCCCUUGAGACAGAGGACCUGAUUUGUGAUUCAAUUUCUAAUAAUUCAUAAAUGACUCAUGAAUAGCACUCAAUUUGAGGGCCAUUAUGACACUUUGAGAGGCAUAGUAAGAGUAUAUUGCAUUGAUAUAGUAUGGUGUACUCUUUUAGAAGCCUGUCAUUCAUAUAUAUAUAUAUAUGGAAUUUAUGUUAAUCAGGAUAAGCAUAUAUUAAGGUAUGUUUAUUAAGUCACAAGAAGAUCUCUUACUUGGCCAGUUUGUGGGGUGGGGAUGGUUUGGGAUUGCUCUGUAAUAGACUACCACUAGCUUAGCAGCAUGAAACAACACUGUUUACUAGCUGUAGGUUGAGAAACCCAGCAAGCCUGCCUGGUAAAGAGUAUCAGAUAGGAAACAGAUAGCAAACAGCACAAGGCUGGAAUCAGGGUGUCAGCCCCUGUGUAUUUCUUUCUGGAGGCUCUGGCAAGAACCCACUUCCAGGCUCUGUCAUGUCGUUAGCAGAAUGCACUUCCUUUUGGCUGUAGGACUGAGGUCCCUGUUUUCUUGCUGGCUGUUGGCCAGGGCACAUUCUCAGACCACAUGCCCGCCUCCAUCUCAAGUGAGCAACUCUCUCUCAUGUUGACUCCUCCUUACCUUUCUGAUCUCUCUGACAUACGCUUCUGCCACCAGCCAGAGAAUACCACUGCUUUAAAAAAAAAAAAGGCUCACAUGAUUAGGUUACACUCACCCAGAUAAGCUCCAUGUCUUGAGGCUACUACCUGAUUGGUAACCUUCAUCUGUGGAAUCCCUUUUGGCAUGAAACCUCCAUAAACAUGGAAGUAGGAUAAGGGAGCAAGGGUUAUGGGGUCAUCUUAGAAUUUUGUCUACCACAAGGGUAUUUGGUGUGACGUUUAUGCUGUGGAUUUUUCAGAGCAACCGCGUUCUUAAUCCUUAUCUUCGUUUUGGUGUCCUACAACCUGGCCUGGAAAGAAGAGGGCCAACUCUGGGUGGGUUCCAUCAACAAGUACAUGUAGAGCACCUGCCGCACAGCCAACCUUCCUGUUAUGGACUAUUUGUUUAUGUCCCCCAAAUUUCUGUGUUGAACUCCUAAGCCCCAGUGUGAUGGUUUUAGGAGGUGGGGCCUUUGGGGGGUGAUUAGGUCAUAAGGGUGGAGCUCUCAUGAACGAUGGGAUUAGUACCCUUAUAAAAGGAAUCCGUGAGAGCGCUGUGAGGACAGAAUGCAAAGACAGUUAUCAGCAACCUAGAAGAGGGCUCACGCCAGGAUCAGGCCAUGCCGGCACCCUGACUAAGAACUUCCAUCCUGCAGAACCACGAAAAAUACGUUUCUGUUGUUUGUGAGCCACCAGUGUAUGGUGCUUUGUUAUAACAGCCUGUACUGACUAAGAUACGUGCAUUAUAGGCAGGAAGUAAAAAUCUCUGUAAGAUGCACGUUCCUUGCUCUCUCCACGUCAAAGUUUUUCAUACACAUAUCAUGAGAUUGUCAGCCAAUCAAGGCAUCUGAGGACAGGGGCUAAAUUAAGUGGGAAUUGAGUGGGAAAGUAAAUCCUUGGGAGUUGAAGCAGGCAAAGGAAGGCUUCAGGAGACGAAAUGGUCAGUGGGCCUUGAACAAGGCAGACAGUUCAACAAGAUGGAGAGAGAGGGGCAAGGCCACCCAGGUGGCAAAGAGCCUACUGUGUGGGGAAAUAAUGGGAAGUCAGAUUGAGCUGCAGUGGUGGGUCCUCCCCCAACACUUGAAUAGGUGUGCUGUGGGGGUGGAUGGGAGGCACACUAUGAAAAAUACAUGUGUGUUCAUGAUAAGCCACAUGGGGACAGCCACAUGUUGAAAUCACAUGAAGUUCCUUUUUCUUACAGAAGCCUCUGGAAGGACUCAUGUCCUCCAUCCCUGCCUACAGCAAGCCUUUGCCAAGGGCCCUCUGCUCUUGGGGUACAGGUGAAUCAUUCUGAACAGUGUGAGAAGUUCUAUACACAAAGUUCGAAGCCCAGCCUUCACAUUGAGAUUAUCUGAGAAACUUGCAAAAAGGAUACCAAUGGUCAGGGAGUACCUCAGACCAACUCGAUCAGAUUUCUGGUGGUUGGCAUGGGGAUUGGGAUUGUAUGGAAAUGUUCUCCAGGUGACUUUAAUAGCAGCUGGCCAAGUCUGCAUUUGUGGAAAUCUGCAGUAUUUGAAGUUUGGAGGAGAUCAAUUUUUCAUCCUUUCCUUCGUGGGAUAAAGAAUAUUUCAACCACCUCUGGAGACCAAAGAGUUCUGAGAAGUUUUGAAAUAGCUUGGGAAAUACACCACGUGCUUCACACUUCAUUUUUCUCCUCUCUCUUUCAUUGUUUGACUUAAUUAAAAUAUUGUAAUGCAAGAAGGAGAGAUGAGGCAAACGUUUAGAGAAGGAAAAGGAAAUGGGUUCAUGUUUAAACUGACUCUGAGCAAGCAUGGCGAUGGUAGUUUGAAAGAAUUCUGAGCAUGUAGGAAGGUAAACUCAAAAUGUUCUUCCUGCCUGAGAAGUGAUUAAAAUACCUGUGAGCACCAA
rnacentral:lncRNA from 1 species